rnacentral:piRNA from 1 species
UCCACAAGAAGCUGGUGGAGCAGAGUGUU